rnacentral:rRNA from 1 species
GACGAACGCUGGCGGCGUGCUUAACACAUGCUAGUCGAACGGAAAGGCCCUGCUUUUGUGGGGUGCUCGAGUGGCGAACGGGUGAGUAACACGUGAGUAACCUGCCCUUGACUUUGGGAUAACUUCAGGAAACUGGGGCUAAUACCGGAUAGGAGCUCCUGCUGCAUGGUGGGGGUUGGAAAGUUUCGGCGGUUGGGGAUGGACUCGCGGCUUAUCAGCUUGUUGGUGGGGUAGUGGCUUACCAAGGCUUUGACGGGUAGCCGGCCUGAGAGGGUGACCGGCCACAUUGGGACUGAGAUACGGCCCAGACUCCUACGGGAGGCAGCAGUGGGGAAUAUUGCACAAUGGGCGGAAGCCUGAUGCAGCAACGCCGCGUGCGGGAUGACGGCCUUCGGGUUGUAAACCGCUUUCGCCUGUGACGAAGCGUGAGUGACGGUAAUGGGUAAAGAAGCACCGGCCAACUACGUG